CGGGGGAGGCCGGAUCCUGGGCUGUGUCCCGGCGCCCUGUGCUCCGGAGCCUGCGCUGUUGGAUUCGCGCUCCCGGGCCGUGCAGCCCCCU
rnacentral:pre_miRNA from 1 species